UACCUUUUACAUCUGAGAUAAGUGUGGUGGGUGGGAUAGGAUAAGAUAUGUGUAAUUGGUUCUUAAGAUACCAUAUCUAUAUCUAGCUGUAGACCCCUCAUGCUGCACCCGAGAAGUGUGGGGGGGACCCCUCUCCAUGCGUGGGACCAGCUGCAAGAGACGCCAUGCUGCUGACUGCUGAAACAGGAAAGCAGGUGAUGGCUUGCCGAGAAGAUAGGAGAAAGGGAAAAGAAGGAGAACGGAGAGAGGGGCUAGGAGAAAAGGAGAGAUUCAAAGAGGAAGAGAGGAAAAAAAAAAGAAAGCUGGAAGGAGGAGGGGUGCCUUUGCUGCCACACAGAAGAAACUCUCUGGGUUCAUAGAAUCAUGCUCUUGUCCCAUGUUUAUGAUGCCUGCCCCCAGCUCUAUUGACUACCCAUGAAAUAUAGCUAGGUUCACUCUAUAUUUCCAUGCUUUUCUUCCUCUCUUUAUCACUCUGUUUUUGACUGAUUGGUGGAGCAAUGCCUUCACUAACCAACCUGCCGAGGUUCAGUGAACCAGGUCGUUCAUCCACCUCCCAUCCUCUCAAAAAUCUUCAUGAACUUCUCACUUGCACUUACCGAACUUCUCACACCCGCUUUCUCUCAUUAAACUCCUCAUACCCAUCCCACCACUUUGUGAUUCAUAUCUCCAUUAUCACCAGCCGUCCAUGCUAUCAAUAAUGUCCCCACUCAUCUUCAUACCCAUUUGUUUCACCAUCUUGGAUUCCCAUGCAAGCGGUGCCCCAUGCACGCGAGCCGCCCCAUCCUUCAUUUUUUUUUCUUUGCUGCAAGCACCCCGGGACUGCCGCCACUGCUCCUCACCAACCGCCAUCACCGCUCCAGCCAUGUGGGCACUUGCACCAGCCACCGUGACGGCGGCACCUUCUGGAUGCCGCCGGACCGCCGCCACGACUUCUCUCUCCAUCUUGCCGCCGGUGGUGGGAGCUCCCUUUGAGGAUGAUAUUCGGGUGGAGAAGCAAGCUGGAGGAAGAUGAAGUUUUGGGCUUGGGUUUGAGAUGGGUUUUUGAGCCCGCCCAUGGUAGCUUUGGAUUUGGGCUUGGGUUGGAGCACCAGCCCAAGUUUGUGAUCAAGUCAGCCCAUUGGGCUUGCCCAUAGCAUGGAUGUGGACUUGAGUUUGGAGCCCAGCCCAAGCUUGUUGAUGGGGGGGCCUCAUGGCUCCUCAAGCUAGCCACCCUCAUGGCCCAAGCCCAUGUUGAGCUAGCCCAUUUGGUUGCCUCAAUUCCAAAAAGAAAUAAAUCUCUCUAUACCUCUAAUCUUUCAAAAAUCCCAUGGCUUAAUUUAAUUUUUCAAUAAUUAAUUCAAAUAUCAUUUUCAUC